UCAGAAGCAAAAUAAUAACGUCCUUUACCCUGCAACAGCACUCAAGUAAUUAGGAAAAAAUAAGACUAAACAUUAGCUUAGUAAAGGCCGGAGGAAUAGGUAAGCAGACCCAACCACCAACAGAGCUAAUGGUGAACAGAGGAAAAGGAGGAAAAGAAAGAAAACCUGGGAGAGAAAGCAGCAAGGCGAAUAAUGCUAGGAGAGUAAUAAAAGGCCGAAGAGAAUAAUGCUGGGAGAAUAAGCUCGAACCCAUUAAUGUUCCGGCUGAAAAGCUGAAAAAAGGCUGAAGAGUAAAAGGAAAAGUAGUACAGUUAUUAGAUGAAUGGGAGCGACCAAGGGCAGACAGGACGAAGGCUAGCUGGAUUAGUGAAAUGGGAGUGACCAAGUGCAGACUGCCUUUCUGAUAUACAACAGUGCCG
rnacentral:lncRNA from 1 species